AAUAGAUACCCUGGUAGUCCACGCCGUAAACGAUGAGUGCUAAGUGUUAGAGGGUUUCCGCCCUUUAGUGCUGCAGCUAACGCAUUAAGCACUCCGCCUGGGGAGUACGGCCGCAAGGCUGAAACUCAAAGGAAUUGACGGGGGCCCGCACAAGCGGUGGAGCAUGUGGUUUAAUUCGAAGCAACGCGAAGAACCUUACCAGGUCUUGACAUCCUCUGCCAACCCUAGAGAUAGGGCGUUCCCCUUCGGGGGACAGAGUGACAGGUGGUGCAUGGUUGUCGUCAGCUCGUGUCGUGAGAUGUUGGGUUAAGUCCCGCAACGAGCGCAACCCUUGAUCUUAGUUGCCAGCAUUCAGUUGGGCACUCUAAGGUGACUGCCGGUGACAAACCGGAGGAAGGUGGGGAUGACGUCAAAUCAUCAUGCCCCUUAUGGCCUGGGCUACACACGUGCUACAAUGGAUGGUACAAAGAGCUGCGAACCCGCGAGGGUAAGCGAAUCUCAUAAAGCCAUUCUCAGUUCGGAUUGU
rnacentral:rRNA from 1 species